UAUUGCCACGGCUCUAAAGAACCGUUGCAAUAGCCUAGAUAUUUUAACAAAAAUGAAAGCUAAUGCAACGGAAGUGUUGUAUCAUGAAAAAUUUAGCUGGUUGAAGCACGCAUUAUUCCCUCUAAUUUUUUCACCAAAAUUUUGAACAAACACUGUUUAAUUUUCUCACCCAUUUUCUCCCCUCAUUCUCACAGUACCCAUUCUCCCCCAAUUCUCCAUUUUCUCAAUCUCCCCCGAUUCUCCACUUUCUCAGUUUCCCCAUCAUCAUCUCACAUAAAUAAGCAAGGUAAACAAAAAUUCUGAGGCCGAUUUUGAGGUGAAAAUCACGAAAAAAUCAUUCAAAAAUUCGAAGAGGAAGGCAACCAUCGCCGCAGCCGCAACCACAUCCACAACCACCGUCGCUCACAAAAUUAAAUUCUCUCUUUCUUCUCCCUCCUCAUUCAAUGGUGGUUACGGUGGUGAUGGUGGUCGCGAGUGAUAAUGACGAUGUGGUUCGAUUUUUAGGGUUUUGAUUGGUGUUCAUGGGUUUCGAUUUGUAACUGUUGGCGGUGGUGGAGAGCAACGAUGGUGAGUUUUGAUUUGUAAUUGAUGGCGGUGGUGGAGAGUUUCUGAGCUAACGUCGCUCAAACUCCAGCUUCGUGCCCUGAUCUUUGAGUAAUUGACAGGUUUCCUUUGUUCCCUUGCAUUUUUGAGCUUGUAGGGAUUGGUUACAGCGGGGUACUCUCAACACCCAUUACUAAUUUCUUUCAUAUGAUUACAUUGUUAUUAUUCUACUAAAAUCAUGUUUAAUCGUACUUAAGUGUUUACUAGUAGAAAUGCUGGAACUUGGUUGUAUGAAUUUAAAAUCUUGUAAUCUGUGUAAGUCUAUCAAAGAUUAUAUAGCCAUUAGAAUGUUCAAAGUUUCCCUUUAAUUAAUUAACUACAAAUUAAUGACUUCCCUACUUGCUGAUUAUUGAUUUUUCUUAUCCACAAUUAAUGUACUGGUCUGGACUACAUGAAUAUGUACCGCUUGGGUGAGAAUAUAUCUUGAUCUCUAUUGUACAGAGCUUCAGAUCAUCUUUGUAUUUCCUCAAUUCCCUCUAUUUGGCAUUAUGAUUUACAUUAAUAUUGUUUAGGUGUUAGCUAGCAUAUAGAGCCUAGAAAUAUUUACAUAUUCUUAUGUGAUCAUCCUCGCGUUUUAAGCAUCUAGCUUAAACAACUAGAGAUCUAUUAAAGUAUUUGCUAUUCUACUUCUGAUUGAAUAGGGAGGCAGUAAAGUAACUUCUGAAAGAUGUAUGCAGGAAGCAGAAAAUUGACUACACUGAUUUUUUGACUCCUUUUACAGGUAUAUAGCUUUCAAUAUUAUUCAUGAGCUAAUUAGUUCAACGAUAAGCACUAACUUAAAUUAGGAUGAUGUAAAAUGUUUCCUGAGCACAUCAAUGAUUGGUAUAUGAUUGAUGAAUAACUACUAACUCUCAAGCACGACAAAGGGAGCCUCAGAACUUUCCAAGAAAUGGAAGAGUAAUUCUCCCAUUUGUGACACACAAAUAAACCUAUAUUUUGUUGAAUUGUUUUUCAUUUUUCAGUUGAGGUCUUUGUUUAAUUUGACUUAUUGCUUAUUUUUUUUAUUUUCCACCCACUAUUUUGAUUUAUUACCUGAAUUCAUAUCUAAUUAUAGUUCAUUUUAUAAGCUUUUCGGCUGAUAUAAUUUUUGCUUGAAUCCUUGAUUAUCUUCUUGUUUAUCUCUGAAUUGCUUACUUAUUUUUUUUAAAGGGCUCUAUAUCACUUACUUAAAAUUUGAUUUUGUAUUCCAAAUUUCAAGUAUUCAUGCUGAUGGACAUGUUAAAAAAUGAAAAAAAAUGAUGGUUUACAAAAGUGGCCUUGUACUUGAGAUUACUUGUGGUGUAAGGUGUAUAGUGAUAUGAAUUGUCUUAAUGUACUUGUUUGGUUACUUUUUUGUUUAAAAUAGUACUAUUAUAUAUAUGGAACAUUGAGGGAAAAUAGGGUUUGGGUGUUCUCAUAUCUCUUUCUCUAUAUAUGUAUGCAGAGAAUCUGAGUGCUUAGUUUUGGCAAGUAGUUAAGUUGCUUGUGAUUUCUUUGGUAAGUUCAGUGCCCUUCUGUGUUAUAUUAGAAAGUAUCUAUUCUGGAAGUUUGGUUUUCAUUAACUUCCGGUUUCAAAUGAAGUAAAUUGAUUGUUUAAAGUGGUCUGCAGGUUUAGAGUUCUUGAGAGUCAGGUGCUGGUUGAGUUUAUAUUCACGUAGUAAGUUUUCAGGGUAUAAAUGUAUUGUGUGUUUAUGGAUAGUGUUGCUCAUUGAUGUAGGAUGUGUGUUUAGCUCUGUAUAUGGUUGUUGGAUUGUGUCUUGUACUGUAGUACUUAUCUAUAUAGUGUUCUUAUGCCGUAUAUGAAUUUGUAAAUUGGUUUAUGUCACCAGAAUUUAUUUGUCAGUACAUAGAGACCUUGCAUGUGUGACUUUUGAGUUAUUACGUAUUUUUUCUAUAAGAUAGUUGAGUGUAGCUUUUAGAGUUUAGAUGAAGUGCAUCAGAUCAGUGUUGAGAUGUUUGGUCCUUUGUGUACUUGCCCUACUUAGUUAUUUAACUAGCUUUGUUUUUAAGAUUUUGCUACAGCAUGAAAAGAAAAUGCUAGAAGACUUUUGACAUUGCUUAGAAUCCAUCAGCGGUAAAAUAAACUUAUUGUGGUCUUUGUGGAUACGGCAUUUCAGAACUUGGGGAAUCAAGGGUGUUAGAUUUUUACUCUGUAAUUCUGGUUUACAUUAGGACAGGGGAAUUUGUGUAAUAUUGAUGGUAAGCUUAGCAUAUCUGGUAAUAGUUCCUAUUGCAAUGAAGCUAGUUGUAAUGGUUUCCUUGACGUGAUAUGUGAGUAUAGAUUAGGUGGCAGCUGGCUAAAACAGUGAUGCUAAGCCAUUGUAUAUGCAAUUUUGUUAAGUCCUGGUCUAAGCUAUUCUUGUGCGGUUGUCCCUUUCUUUUCAAUGUUCCAUAUUAUAUUCAUAUUCAUUUGUAAUUAAAAGAGAAGGCAAAAAUAAGGUAAGUGGUCAACAUUGUCUCUUGCCUUAUAUAAAAAUGAAGGCUAUUAUUUGUAAUUUUUUGUAUUUGAAGAGAGGAUAAGAUAUUGGAAUAAGUUUUAGCACUUAAAAGUGAUUAAUCUUACAAAGUGUUAUAUGCCCUACAAUAUCCCUUAUACAUUGCAAAUUCUGGUUUUGUUGCCUAGUUUCUGUUGUGUCUUGUUCUGGUUUUGGCUGGUUACUGCUGCUGUUGUUCCUUUUACUACUGCUGUUCUGCACUGUCAGCUGUUGCUGUUUUGUUCUGUCAGCUGCUGUGCUGCUUUCUGCCUGGUUCUGGCUGCUGCUGCUGUUCUGCUAAGCUUGUUGCUGUUGGGACAGCUUGCUGUGUUGCUGGUCUCUACUGCUGCUGUUCACCUGCUGAUGUUGGUCGCUUGCCUCUCAAAGAUUGUAGUCGUUGUAGUUUUCUCAAUUAAUUUAAUUAGUGAAAUUUGAUUUUGUAACUUUUCCUUUUAAGGGCAAUAAUGUACGUAUUUCGCAUUAUAAUUAUUAUAUAUAAAUGAUACUUUAAUUUGUUUCUGUUAGCAUAUUUUAAUUUGUACUGACUAAUUAUACAUAUAUUAUAUUAUCAUCCCAUCCCAACAAAAAAAAAAUAAAAAAAAUGAUCAAUCCGUUGCAGUAGAUACGUACUCCUAUCAUUGUAUUAAUCAGCUUCAUCCGUUGCAAUAGGAUCAAUUUCAUCAUAAUUAUUAGUCAGUACUCUAUUGCC